rnacentral:lncRNA from 1 species
CUAGAAAUGCAAAAUAUCGUGCAAAAUAUCCUUCCGGAUAUUACCCUUAAUCACCAAUGAAACCUAAGGUUGAACAAGAGAACAUUAUUAUAGUUUAUCGAGCAAAACAUUUAAGGGAAACAAAGAAACCCGACUAAUUAAGAGUAAAACGUGUAAAGAUGACUUUCAAGUAAGAAGAGGGUUGUUUGAACCCAAGGAUGAAAAAUCAUGUUUUAAAAUGGAAAACCGAUCAUGGUAUUGGCCUAACAAAAGUAUACAAGUUCAAAUAGAAACCUAGCCCUCGGGCGAAAAUUUGGGCAGCACGCCCUUUGUGUUUACCUAAUUUUCCAGCCAUUUUGGCUUCAUUAUUUUUCCUCAAUCAAACCAAGGUUACCCACAACACAAAUUCAUUUCAAUAGCCAUUCCAUAGGCUCAAAACAAUACAAGUAUAGAAAUCGAGCUAAUAACAAAUGCGGAAAUGAAACUUAACAAAAGACAGAUUUGACGGGUUUUGCGUAACGGACACAUCCGACGCUACGCUUAUCGGAUUGGAAUGUAAUUUAUACCGUUUCGAAGCUAAGACAGAGGGAUACAAUUUUGAUGAAGACCACUUAGUCCAAAUUCCAGUGUAACCUAGUCAAAUUCCCAAUUCGCAGAACCAAGUUCCAACUAAUCGGCUAAUUAACCGUACUACCUUUAAAUGGCCAUAUCACAGGCUACCAAAGUCCGUUUAAGGCGUUCUUAGAGGCGUUGAAAAGCUAAGAAAAAGACCUACAACUUUCAUGAAGACCACUCAGUCCAGUUCUCAUCCUAACUAGGUCAAAUGUACCAAAAAAUCUCCAGAUUUUCCAGUUUGAAAUUCACUGCAGAAAUCAACUAGCAGUCCUGCUUUAUUCACUCAUAUCUCAGCACACACAACUCCAAUUCAGGUAAUUCCAAAGCCAUUAGAAAGCUAAGACACAAGGCUAUAAGUCUUAAGAAGACAUCAACAACCAAAUCAGUAGUAUUCCUGGUCAAAACAUCCAAUUACAGAAGCUGAUUAUCAGUUUCGGAUAAAUACAGGGAAGUAGGGGUAUUUUGGUCUUUUCACAGGCUACGUUGCUCCGAUUGAGCUGAAAUUUUACAGACAACUAUAAAACAUCAUUCCCUACAACUUUCAUGUUUUGGACUAAGGCCAAAUCAGCUCCCAACAUGUUCGAAUUUUCAGACUAAUUUCGGACAGAAAUCUUGACAGAAAAGGAACACUUGAAGUUCAUUUAAAUUCCACCCAAUCAAACGAAUUUCCAGCCGUUCAAAUCAGUUCCUAGCUAGUUAGAUUCAACUUCCAAUCAUCAAUCAUAUGUUUUACCACAAGAAUCAAGAGUUAGGAAAUUGGUUUACCUCAAAUCCUUAAGCAUACCCCCUAGCUGGCCGAUUCUUUGAGGAGAUGUAUCCUUGAGCUCCAACUCUCCAACAAAGUUCCCUUUCUUUUUUUUUUUUUUUUCUCUCUUCUCCUAGCUCACCCGAUGCUGCCUUUCUUCUUCUCCAAGCUCACGGUAGCUUGUUCUUGGUGUUGG